UACGAAGGGGGCUAGCGUUGCUCGGAAUGACUGGGCGUAAAGGGCGCGUAGGCGGUUUGGACAGUCAGGCGUGAAAUUCCUGGGCUUAACCUGGGGGCUGCGCUUGAUACAUCCAGACUUGAGUGGGGAAGAGGGUCGUGGAAUUCCCAGUGUAGAGGUGAAAUUCGUAGAUAUCGAGAGGAACACCGGUGGCGAAGGCGGCCAACUGGACAGAUACUGACGCUGAGACACGAAAGCGUGGGGAGCAAACAGG
rnacentral:rRNA from 1 species